UACUGAUCGGUUUUCUGCCUACAAUUAUUCUAUAUCUCCACAUUCUUCAAAAUCCAAGAUAAAUAAAAAUAAAAAGUCUGAGAGAGGGGUUCCAGAGGAGAAAGCCGUGAGUUUCAUUCCUCCUGCAAUUGCAAUAUCUUUCUCCCUUACAUAAAGGUGAACUUUGCAAGUUGGUUGUGGUUGGAGCAGAAAGUGAUUGAGGAGCUAAGUGAAGGAGGUUGAGCUGUGACGAGCGCGGUGGGUGUUGAGCAGAGCUGGUGAAGAUUUGUGUUUGCUUUUAAAUAUUCCGAAUAUAUUAUGUCUUCAUACAUAAUAUGAUUCUUCUCUCGAAUGCUUCCGCUAAAUGUUGUUUCUUUCGAGUUCAUAUAUUGAUGAGAUAUUGUAUUCCUUUGA